CAACAGCGGCGACAUGUAAUUGACGCGUUACAUGUCGCCGCUAUUGCUUGGCGUUGCCGCUAAAGGUGUCGCCGCUAUUGCUGACACCGUGACGAUCCGCGUGAAAUAAUCCCUGUCUGUUCAAUCAUUAUUCAAUCCUACGGUUGUAAACUCCUAAAACGCGCGCUUUCUUUUCCCUCCAGGGGUGUCGCCGCUAAAACAAAUAUGUCGCCGCUAUUGCCCGUCGCCGCUAUUGAGUUGCGACAGAUAACCCCCUAGUCGAGCCUUCUUCCCUUCUAUCGUUGUAUCUCUCAAACCGGUUAUGCCUUCACCAUCUGCACCUUACGAUUUCGACCAUCGGGAGCCAAUUUACCGGCGACACUUUCUUAUUUACCGGCGACCCACCUUCAUUACCGGUGACCAACCUUUAUUGAGGGCAAUUCCGUCCACAGCAACAUUUAAGUGAAAUUGAGCAAUCUAAGGCUAUAUAUGGGGUUUAGUUGGGCGAUACUCUUCUACAUGAUGGCGGAUGUUAUGGGCUUAGGACAUGGAGGUGACGGAGCCGGGGAUCCACCACCUCCCAGAGGCUUUGGUCGUGGUCAACACGAACAAGAUGCCGAGCUCCCUAAGAAAAGAAGAGGCCUAGCCAAAAACAUUCAACUAUCAAAGAUAAUACGGGCAAACAAGGGAAAGCCUGUAGAUUUGGAUUUCGAUAGGGAGCUGACAUAUUCCCUUGUCGGGAACCAUGGUAAUUGGUUUACCCGUGAGAUUGAGAAGUAUAUAUGGAUGAACAUCCCUUUGAACGUAUCUGGUUGGGACAAUGUUUCCCCCGCUUUAAGGAAUGCCACAGUGGUUCAUUUAAAGAAUAAGUUUGAUUUAGAUAAGGUUAACUUGGAUCCCGAGCGUGCUCAGUUGUUGCAGAGCAUUGAUGCGACUUUGCAAAGAAUUUAUAGAGGCCGGAAAAAUAAAGCGCAUACUUAUUUUGAGAAUGUCGGGGGGCUUACAGAUAUCCCAAGGGCAUUAGCCAACCCCCCCCCCCCCCCCCCCCCCCCCCCGAUGGUAUGUCACGUGAAAAUUGGGCGCAAGCAGUUGAGCAUUUUCAAACUCCUGAAUUUCUAAAGCGUUCGGCGUCAAACAAAGGAGUCCGUGCACAACAACAAGUUGUAAACAGAGGGGGAUCGUGCUCAUAUAGCAAUGCAUGUUUCAAAGAAGUAAACUAUGAUAUGUUUAAUUGUUUAUUUAAAUUAUAAUUAAUCUAAUUUUUAAUGUUAAAUAGGACAUUGCUCGAAUUGAAGCAUUUCGUAAGGCCAAUACUGAUCGCCAAGGGGUGUUUAGUAGUCCUACAGUUGAGCAACAAUACUCAACAAACUCAAGCUUCUUCUGAAGCCAGCGGUCUAACACCGAAGGAUACACAAAAUUGUUUUGAAAAAAUAUUGGGUGUUCGACGUGGCCAUAUCAGAGGCAUCGGACGUAAACCUUCUACGGUUGUGUCGAUGUACGAUCAGGAACAACCACUAACACAACCACCACCACAAUCACAGUUGGAAAUGCUUCAAACAAUGUUAAAAGAUCCGGCAUGUAGUGCUGCGCUUGAAGAUUGGUUUCGUUCGUUGCCACAACGAAAUGAAACCGAAGGAAACGAGGAGAGCGAUGAUGACGAGUAGAUAGUUGUAGGAUUUUUUUAUGUUUUAUCUGUGCAAGUAUUUUAGACUAGUAUUUUUAUUAUUUUGUUAUAUGUUAAAUCGGACGAGUAUUUUA